CAACGAGCCUCAAGGUGGCCACCAAACCGCAGCCCCUGGCCCUUCCCAGGAGUAUCUGGCGGACUUACCGAAGAGCAGCGGCUUGAGGCUGAGGGUUCGGAUGAAGUGAUCCCUGUCGGUGACCAGCUGGACCUUACGCUCGUGCCCCACCUAAGGAAAAGGCGCACAGCGGGCAGCUGGGGCGCCAGACCGCGCUGCCCAAGAAGGGCCAAGUCGCCCCGGCCCGGAGAGCGACAGCAGGCGAGUGAGUGGGAGCGCGCGGGACCGACGCAGAGCAGCGCCGGGGGCAGCGUGGGGACCCGGGCUGAGCGCCGGUCCUCUCGGGCUCAGCCGUGCAGGGCCUGGAGCGCGGCGGGGCAGGGAGGUCCUCACCUUGAUGCCCUCCAGCCGGGUGAGGGGACCUAAGGUGGGCUCGGGCCCGGGGCCCUGGGCACGGUGUUGGGGCCCGGGAUCGCUGCUUUCGUCGCCGUUGCUGUAGUGCACGAAGAGCAGCAGCGCCAGCACGUUACCCAGGUACAGGUGCACGAACACCAUCAGCACCAGGAAGUAGGCGCGCGAGCAGAUGCCGCG
rnacentral:lncRNA from 1 species